AAAUACUGAUACAGGGCUCUUUCGGGUCUUGUAAUUGGAAUGAGUACAAUUUAAACCCCUUAACGAGGAACAAUUGGAGGGCAAGUCUGGUGCCAGCAGCCGCGGUAAUUCCAGCUCCAAUAGCGUAUAUUAAAGUUGUUGCAGUUAAAAAGCUCGUAGUUGAACCUUGGGCCUGGCUGGCCGGUCCGCCUCACCGCGUGUACUGGUUCGGCCGGGCCUUUCCUUCUGGAGAACCUCAUGCCCUUCACUGGGUGUGCUGGGGAACCAGGACUUUUACUUUGAAAAAAUUAGAGUGUUCAAAGCAGGCCUUUGCUCGAAUACAUUAGCAUGGAAUAAUGGAAUAGGACGUGCGAUCCUAUUUUGUUGGUUUCUAGGACCGCCGUAAUGAUUAAUAGGGAUAGUCGGGGGCAUCAGUAUUCAAUUGUCAGAGGUGAAAUUCUUGGAUUUAUUGAAGACUAACUACUGCGAAAGCAUUUGCCAAGGAUGUUUUCAUUAAUCAGUGAACGAAAGUUAGGGGAUCGAAGACGAUCAGAUACCGUCGUAGUCUUAACCGUAAACUAUGCCGACUAGGGAUCGGGCGGUGUUACUACUUUGACCCGCUCGGCACCUUACGAGAAAUCAAA
rnacentral:rRNA from 1 species